GGUCCCUACAUUCUUAAUACCGGGGGCGUAGACUCAAAGGGCUUUAAGGCGGGAAUCAAGCUACUUACGUGUAAGUGGCUGAAUGUACCGAAGGAAUAUGGAUCGUGGUAACUCCGUGCCAGCAGACGGGGUAAUACGGAGGAUCCAAGCGUGAUCCGGAUUUAUUGGGUUUAAAGGGUGCGUAGGCGGCUUAUUAAGUCAGGGGUGAAAGACGGUGGCUCAACCAUCGCAGUGCCCUUGAUACUGAUGAGCUUGAAUACACUAGAGGUAGGCGGAAUGUGACAAGUAGCGGUGAAAUGCAUAGAUAUGUCACAGAACACCGAUUGCGAAGGCAGCUUACUAUGGUGUUAUUGACGCUGAGGCACGAAAGCGUGGGGAUCAAACAGGAUUAGAUACCCUGGUAGUCCACGCCCUAAACGAUGAAUACUCGCUGUUAGCGAUACACAGUUAGCGGCUAAGCGAAAGCGUUAAGUAUUCCACCUGGGGAGUACGGUCGCAAGAUUGAAACUCAAA
rnacentral:rRNA from 1 species